rnacentral:rRNA from 1 species
AACUUUCCAGAGAUGGAUUGGUGCCUUCGGGAACUGUGAGACAGGUGCUGCAUGGCUGUCGUCAGCUCGUGUUGUGAAAUGUUGGGUUAAGUCCCGCAACGAGCGCAACCCUUAUCCUUUGUUGCCAGCGGUCCGGCCGGGAACUCAAAGGAGACUGCCAGUGAUAAACUGGAGGAAGGUGGGGAUGACGUCAAGUCAUCAUGGCCCUUACGACCAGGGCUACACACGUGCUACAAUGGCGCAUACAAAGAGAAGCGACCUCGCGAGAGCAAGCGGACCUCAUAAAGUGCGUCGUAGUCCGGAUUGGAGUCUGCAACUCGACUCCAUGAAGUCGGAAUCGCUAGUAAUCGUGGAUCAGAAUGCCACGGUGAAUACGUUCCCGGGCCUUGUACACACCGCCCGUCACACCAUGGGAGUGGGUUGCAAAAGAAGUAGGUAGCUUAACCUUCGGGAGGGCGCUUACCACUUUGUGAUUCAUGACUGGGGUGAAGUCGUAACAAGGUAACCGUAGGGGAACCUGCGGUUGGAUCACCUC